GGCCCCGGCGCGCGCCAACGGGUUCCUCCUCCCCGGCGGAGAUCGGCGUGGAGGCUCCCCGGCGGCUCGAGGCUGCGGGGCUGGUAAUCCCUUUAGGCACCGGAUGAUCCGCCUAGGCAUUUGCCAUAAGGAUAAAUAUGGAGGAGCAUUUUAGGCAGAAAACAGAAGCAGAGUUGAAGAGUGACUGAUUCAAAACGUGUGCCGUCCCCAGGACUUUUUCUGGAACCAUGAGAGGAAAGGAGAGAAGUUCUUAUUCUGGAUUGCAGAGAAGAGGGUGAGCUCAGAGCUACUGACUAUGUGUGCCACUGGAAUUUGAACCCAGAGCCUUGAAGUACUAAACGCACUCUGUCGACUCCUAGGCAACUUUCUUCGCUCUGUUUAUUGACACUGGAGAAGAACCAGCUUAAGAUGAAGCCAGCAAUGAGCAGAGAGCAGGAGUAGAAACAGAUACCAGUGAAUUAAUUUAUGUCUCUAAGUGUAGAAGCUCCCUAGCUUCCACCCCCAGGUUAUCCAGACAUUUUGUUGUUGUUGUAACAUUUAAUUUAAUUGUAACAUUUUAACAGAAAGACUGACACUAAAGUAUUAUGGUUUGCCAUAACAUAGUGUGUUAUACUUGGGACUAGUGUGACUGUGGAGGUAGAGGUAGGGGCUAGAAUGUGAAGGCUUAAGAAAUAGACCUUUAUUGUAUAGCUAUGAAAGGGUUAAGUCAACAGUAUCCCCAACAAACCCAUCGGAACCAGAAACUCAUAGCUAGGAACAUUUAGUUCCUCACACUUUGAUGAGGCAUUCACUUUUGCUAUUCUGGUUCCCUCUGAUAGUUACAGAACUUUUACAAUUGGGAAAGGAGAGCUAGGGACAUGACUGUGACUAGAGCAGUGUGCUCCAACCAGGGUGCUGUGCAUUAUCCCAACAAUCACUGAAACAAGUUUGACAAAUGAGUUAUUUAUGGGGGCCAAGCAUGGAGGGGGAGAACCCCAAAAACUCUUUCUAGAGAAUAGAGUUAGGGUUGUUUAUGGAAUAACCCAGCAGAGAGACUUAAAGUGCAUGCUCAGAGAUGGCUAGCAUGGUAUGGAUGUGGAAUUUGGGCCUCUCUGACAUCAAAAGGGCACAGAACAGAAACUGCAGGAUCAAACAAGAGUCAGAUCACUUCAACAAAAGCAGCCUUUAAGCUCCUGGAAGGUAAUCUGGCAGCCAUUGGCAUCUCUACCCACGUGCCAGAAGUGCUGUCUGUCUGUCUUCAGCAAAGCCUGUGGGAGCCUCAUAAUACAUACCUCAGCUGUGACCUCGAGAGCUCGUCAUUUCAAAAUCCAAUUAGAAACAGCAAGGGGGGCUUGAAAGGUUGCUUAGGAUAAGUAAGAGUAGGUCAUCUGGAUGUGUUUAUCAAAGUUAGAAAACUGGGUUCUCUGUGUAGCCCUGGCUAUCCUGGAACUCACUCUGUAGACCAGGCUGGCCUCGAACUCUGAAAUCCACCUACCUCUGCCUCUCAAGUGCUGGGAUUAAGGAUGUGUUCCACCACCACCACAGGGUUUAAGACAGGGCCUUGAUGGUAACAUUCUUGGGGAUGUUUCUGGUUUCUUGGAGAGAUGUUUCUAAGGUGCAAAAGGUACACAUUAACAACUGUAACGAUUUUUUGAUUGUUUGUUUGUUUUGGUCAGGGUUAUGCUGGCCUCAAAUUUAUAUCUCCUGCUUCAAGCUCUUAAAUGCUGCGAUUACAGUCAUAUGCCACUGCAUCAGCUAUAAAGACCUUUUGAUAAGUACCCAGCAGAUGGUUGUGUCUCAAGGAGCAAAAAUUAGGUAUUAGUAGCGUCUCUGUUAAUUUUCUAUUGCUGCAAUAAGACACCAUGGCCAAGGUAAUUAAUUAUAGUGUUUAUCUGGGGCUUACAGUUUGGGUAUUAGAGUCCAUGACCCUCAUGGUGGGGAGCAUGGCAGCAGGCAGGCAUGGCACUGGAGUAGUAGCUGAGAGCUCACAUCUUGAGACACAACCAGAAGGCAGAGAGAUCUAACAGGAAACGGUAAGGGCUUUUGAAAUCUCAAAGUGACCCCCCCUCCUUCAACAAAGCCGCACUUGCUGAUCCUUCCCAUUAGGCAACCAGCUAUUCACACAUGAGCCUAUAAGGUCAUUCUCAUUCAGACCACCACACAUAGUAAGGAGGCUUAGAAAUGGACCUGGAAAACAAACAAAAGGGUUUGGCAAAUUUCAGAAAAUGCCAUUUUCCUUUUAGGGAUUGAGUUGUUUGAUUUUGACCCCAGUCAGUAGUGUUUCCUAAUUCUUUUAAUAAUAAUAAUAAUAAUAAUAAUAAUAAUAAUAAUAAUAAUAAUGAUAAACAAUAAUAAAUUAUUAUUAGUGUGUGUGUGGUUGUGUAUGGACAUGCCAUGGCAUGUGUGUGGAGGUCAGAGUACAACCUUGUGCAAUCUCUCCUGCCUUUAUGUGGUUCCAGGGAUGGAAAUAAGAAAGUUAGGUGUUUGUGGAAAGCACCUUUACCCACUGAGUCAUCUCAGGAGCCUACGUGUCCUGUUUUGAAGACACAUUCACACAAGCAGAAUUUCCCUGAAGAAAAAAGGAAAUCAGUGGUGGAUCUCAGCACUCAGGAGGCAGAGGCAGGUGGAUUUCUGAGUUCGAGGCCAGCCUGGUCUAUGGAGUGAGUUCCAGGACA